rnacentral:rRNA from 1 species
AUUGAACGCUGGCGGCAGGCCUAACACAUGCAAGUCGAGCGGAUGAAGGGAGCUUGCUCCUGGAUUCAGCGGCGGACGGGUGAGUAAUGCCUAGGAAUCUGCCUGGUAGUGGGGGAUAACGUCCGGAAACGGGCGCUAAUACCGCAUACGUCCUGAGGGAGAAAGUGGGGGAUCUUCGGACCUCACGCUAUCAGAUGAGCCUAGUUCGGAUUAGCUAGUUGGUGGGGUAAAGGCCUACCAAGGCGACGAUCCGUAACUGGUCUGAGAGGAUGAUCAGUCACACUGGAACUGAGACACGGUCCAGACUACUACGGGAGGCAGCAGUGGGGAAUAUUGGACAAUGGGCGAAAGCCUGAUCCAGCCAUGCCGAGUGUGUGAAGAAGGUCUUCGGAUUGUAAAGCACUUUAAGUUGGGAGGAAGGGCAGUAAGUUAAUACCUUGCUGUUUUGACGUUACCAACAGAAUAAGCACCGGCUAACUUCGUG